GUAAAACAGUCAAACAAACAAACAAAAGAAAAACUAAUCAAAAGUACAGUAUCCAGUCCAAUUUAUACAGUCCAAAAUAGAAAAAUACAAAAAUAAACCCUAUCUAACCUACACUAAUACUAACUACACUCCCUUGCUUUACCCGAUGCCUCGGGACUUCCUCACGAACGUCUUUUGCCAACAUAGUACGUCGGGACAUUCCCCGGUGAAUAAAUCAAGGUGUAUCGGGGCAUUCCCCGGCUAAAUAAAUACAUUUGAAUUAAAUAUGAUAAACUAGAAACCAAACAUUCACACGUGCAUUAAACAUUCAAAACAUUUAAUAAACACAUCACUCCUAAAUAUUUGCCUACCCAAACCUACUUUUAGCUAUUCAUUCGAUGACCUAAUCAUGAUGCUAGCCAAUUCAACAGUAUCCAGUAAUGAAUCAAAAUAAUCAACCUUCGACUUAUUCGAUUAUCAAUUUUCAAUCCUGACCCCCAAACAAAUUCAAAUCCUUUAAUUACUCUAUUCACAUGAAUCAGUCAAUCAAUAUCAACCAUAGUAAUCACGAUUGCUUGAACACAAUAUCAAAACAUAUCCUCACAUCAUAACAUCAACCAAAUGCCAUAUUUGAUCCGAUACACCGAAUACCAUAACUAUUAAAAUAAAAGAGAAAGAGAAAAGAAUUGGACCUCAAGACGAAGCUUUCAAAAUCCAAUAUUACUUGAAUGAGAAGACGUAUUCCGCCACCGGAGACCUCGAAUUGAACCUCGACCCAACAAACCGGAGCUCAAUACACCCCUUUUCUCCAUUUUCGCCAACCCAAAUUGAAAACCCCAAAACGAAGGUAAAUUAGUACCAAAUUCUCGUGCCUAUUACGGUUUUGAUCAUUUUUCGAUUGACUUCAUCGGGAUCGAGACUGAUUGAACCAAUUUUGGUCGCUCAACCAUAGAUUUUGUCCCUUUUCGGUGAAUGGUCAUCGGAAUCAGUACUAGAGGAGGUCAGAUUCAAGUCGGAGUGAAGCUGGUGGUGUUUCCUGGCCACUAAUUCUGCCAUAACAAUGAUGAAACAGCCAUGAAAAGUGUUUUUUGAUGAGGUUCAAACAGAAUUAAUGGAGGAGGAAGAAAUAUUUCGAUUGAAUUUGGCCGAAAAUGGUCGCUUGUUUGUGAUUUAUUGCUGGAUUUGGUCGUGUGGUAGGUCAUUUUUGGUGAGAGAUGGAAGAUUUGGGCAAUCAAUUCGCUGAAAACCUCAAACCAGUCGGCUGGGAUGCCUCUGUUCUGUAUUCUUUCCCUUCUCACUCUAUUCCUCUUUCUCUCGCACUGUCCCAAUCUCUUUCCCCCGUCUCAAUCUCUCUCUCGUCUCCCUACUCUCACCCCCUUCCAAUGGUAUUCUCUCCUCUCUUCUUUAAUGGAGUGCCUUUCAGGAGGAUGAUGGUGUAGGCGUAUUAGUGAGAAAGGGGUGUGUAUGUGAUGAGUGUGUGACCA
rnacentral:lncRNA from 1 species